rnacentral:hammerhead_ribozyme from 1 species
AUCCAGCUGACGAGUCCCAAAUAGGACGAAACACUCGUUAAACUUGAU